UACGAAGGGGGCUAGCGUUGUUCGGAUUUACUGGGCGUAAAGCGCACGUAGGCGGAUUGAUAAGUUAGAGGUGAAAUCCCAGAGCUCAACUCUGGAACUGCCUUUAAUACUGUCAAUCUCGAGUCCGGAAGAGGUGAGUGGAACUCCUAGUGUAGAGGUGGAAUUCGUAGAUAUUAGGAAGAACACCAGUGGCGAAGGCGGCUCACUGGUCCGGUACUGACGCUGAGGUGCGAAAGCGUGGGGAGCAAACAGG
rnacentral:rRNA from 1 species